CUCCCUUUGCUCCGUCCCCCCACCCCCCUGCCGCACUCCCCCUCAAGGACGGCUCGUGGUUCUGGGAUUCUGAUGAACAUAUUAAGAGUCACCUUUUCUAGGAACAUUUGAGCUUGGUGUAAAUGAGACAGACAAAUUUCCUGCCCUCCUAGCUCAUGGGAGUCCCAGGAUGGCUCUAAAGAAUAUUCCCAAGGGGACUGCAGGGUUUGAACAGCAAAACUUCAAACACCUGGUUUCCGAGAAGAGAAUCAGCUUCAAGCUCCAGACUCCAAGCUAUAACAUCGGAGUCGCACACGAAGCACAAGCAUGUUUAUUUGUUUAAAAAUAAGAUGUAUUUGAAAUUUUCAAGAA